GAGUAAUUAAACAUUAAUUAAAUAUUUUCAUUCGGCCCGUCUUGAAACACGGACCAAGGAGUCUAACAUGUAUGCAAGUCUAAGAGAAUUUAAAACUAUAAGGCGAAAUGAAAGUGAUUAAUUUAUUAAAUUUGGGUUUUAAGACUCAUUUUGAAAUAAAGACUAGUUAAAUUUAGGUUUAAUUAAGUUUAAGCAUAUAUGAUGGGACCCGAAAGAUGAUGAACUAUGCUUGAACAGAGUGAAGUCAGGGGAAACUCUGGUGGAGGCUCGUAGCGAUACUGACGUGCAAAUCGUUCGUCUGAUUUGAGUAUAGGGGCGAAAGACUAAUCGAAUCAUCUGGUAGCUGGUUUUCUCCGAAAUUUUCCCUCAGGAUAGCUGACAUUGAUAAUGUACAAUUUUAUAACGUAAAGCGCAUGAUUAGAAGUAUCUGGGUUGAAUAAUUUAGACUGAUUCUCAAACUUUGAAGUCGUAAGAAUUAAUAGUACCAUUUUGAUCUAUACUAUAAUU
rnacentral:rRNA from 1 species